AGUGAACGCUGGCGGUAGGCCUAACACAUGCAAGUCGAACGGCAGCACAGUAAGAGCUUGCUCUUACGGGUGGCGAGUGGCGGACGGGUGAGGAAUACAUCGGAAUCUACUUUUUCGUGGGGGAUAACGUAGGGAAACUUACGCUAAUACCGCAUACGACCUACGGGUGAAAGCAGGGGAUCUUCGGACCUUGCGCGAUUGAAUGAGCCGAUGUCGGCUUAGCUAGUUGGCGGGGUAAAGGCCCACCAAGGCGACGAUCCGUAGCUGGUCUGAGAGGAUGAUCAGCCACACUGGAACUGAGACACGGUCCAGACUCCUACGGGAGGCAGCAGUGGGGAAUAUUGGACAAUGGGCGCAAGCCUGAUCCAGCCAUACCGCGUGGGUGAAGAAGGCCUUCGGGUUGUAAAGCCCUGUUGUUGGGAAAGAAAAGCAGCAGGUUAAUACCCCGCUGUUAUGACGGUACCCAAAGAAUAAGCACCGGCUAACUUCGUG
rnacentral:rRNA from 1 species